ensembl:scaRNA SCARNA7 small Cajal body-specific RNA 7
UGGAAAUGAUGAAAUAGAGAUAAUUGGGUGUUGAAUGUUGUAAGAUUGGAAAUUUUUAAUAUGUAAGUUAAAUAAUCUAGGUUUUAAUAUUAUAUAGCUACUUAUUGAGUGUGUGUUGGGGGGGGUGUGUGCGCGUGCAUGCUAAUAGAGGCUAUGGAAAGGGGGCCCUGAAUGGUGAUGCUGAUAUUGGAGUGCAUCUGAGGCUGUUGUAGAAAUACAUGGGUUGGUGAUUACAACACUGCCGAUGAUUAUAACCCAAGAACAGCUCACCUAAGUAGCCUCACACCCUAAAAUCUCUAACGGGUUCAUUAAACGUGGUCCCGUGAUCUGAUCCAA